rnacentral:misc_RNA from 1 species
CAACCAUCAAGCCCCGGGCUUGUGUUGGGGACCUGCGGCCGCCCGCAGGCCCUGAAAACCAGUGGCGGGCUCGCUGUCACCCCGAGCGUAGUAGCAAUCACCUCGCUCAGGGCGUGCCGCGGGCACCGGCCGUUAAAAGCUGCCCUCGCGCAACACCCAA